rnacentral:rRNA from 1 species
GUGGGGAAUAUUGCGCAAUGGGCGAAAGCCUGACGCAGCGACGCCGCGUGGGGGAUGACGGCCUUCGGGUUGUAAACCUCUUUCAGCAGGGACGAAGCGAAAGUGACGGUACCUGCAGAAGAAGCACCGGCCAACUACGUGCCAGCAGCCGCGGUAAUACGUAGGGUGCAAGCGUUGUCCGGAAUUAUUGGGCGUAAAGAGCUCGUAGGCGGUUUGUUGCGUCGGCUGUGAAAUCCCGAGGCUCAACCUCGGGUCUGCAGUCGAUACGAGCAAACUAGAGUGUUGCAGGGGAGACUGGAAUUCCUGGUGUAGCGGUGAAAUGCGCAGAUAUCAGGAGGAACACCGGUGGCGAAGGCGGGUCUCUGGGCAACAACUGACGCUGAGGAGCGAAAGCGUGGGGAGCGAACAGGAUUAGAUACCCUUGUAGUCC